rnacentral:rRNA from 1 species
GACGAACGCUGGCGGCGUGCUUAACACAUGCAAGUCGAACGAAGAGCGAUGGAUGCUUGCUUCUAUCAAUCUUAGUGGCGAACGGGUGAGUAACGCGUAAUCAACCUGCCCUUCAGUGGGGGACAACAGUUGGAAACGAUUGCGAAUACCUCAUACGAUCUAAUCUCGGCAUCGAGGAUAGAUGAAAGGUUGCCUUGACAUUUAAGCGAACACGGAAGGAGGUGAUUGCGUGUGAUUUGAUGGCUGGGGGGGUAAACGCCCAUCAAGGGGAUGAUCAGUAGACGGUCUGGGAGGGUGGACGGCCCAAUUGGGACCGAGGACCGGCCCCGAAUCCUACGGGGGGCAGCAGUGGGGAAUCUUCCGACAUGGACGGAAGUCCGGCGGAGCAACGCCGCGUGGGUGAUGACGGGCCUCGGGUUGUAAAGGUCUGUUAAUCGGGACGAAAGGGCUUCUUGCGAACAGUUAGAAGGAUUGACGGUACCGGAAGAGAAAGCCACGGCUAACUACGUG